CACUUUGCUUAAUGUCUUAGGUACUUCUGGUUUACUUUGUUUUUGAGUAUUUGAUACUAUUAACUUUUCUACUUGUUUACAAGUGGUGCAUGUUUACUCGUGAUGUUAAAUCAAGACUGGUUAGGAAGAUUACUAAAGAUUUUAAAAACAAAUUCGAUGGUCCCUACUAUAGCUGGACUUGUGUGCCGCGUGAGAGACAAGAAAGAUACUUCAUCGAGUUCGCGAAAAUCCACACCUGGGAUCCCUUGAUAACAGGGACAGUUCAAUGGUGGUUCGAGGAAAUCUGUCAACGCCGGAUGAAGAAUAUGGUGAGCUGCAGUCCAACCAGCAGGACACACCACUGGAACCACACCAACCUCUUCUCUAUCUAACACCGCCUCAAAUCAUUCAACUUGAUUUUAGUUUCCUUUUGUCUAUGUAUGUGAACUUAUUAGGAUAUGUUAUGCUUUGAUUAGGAUAGUUUUUGAAUGGUUUGGAAUGGUACUUGAUUGAUAUUUGAAUGGUUUUUGAAUGCAUUUGCUUUUGAAA